rnacentral:rRNA from 1 species
UACAGAGGUCCCGAGCGUUGUUCGGAUUCAUUGGGCGUAAAGGGUGCGUAGGUGGCGCCGUAAGUGGGGUGUGAAAACUCGGGGCUUAACCCCGGGCCUGCAGUGGGUACGGGCAGACUAGAGUGCGGUAGGGGAGACUGGAAUUCCUGGUGUAGCGGUGAAAUGCGCAGAUAUCAGGAGGAACACCGGUGGCGAAGGCGGGUCUCUGG